UACGAAGGGUGCAAGCGUUACUCGGAAUUACUGGGCGUAAAGCGUGCGUAGGUGGUUUGUUAAGUCUGAUGUGAAAGCCCUGGGCUCACCCUGGGAAUUGCAUUGGAUACUGGCAGGCUAGAGUGCGGUAGAGGGUAGUGGAAUUCCCGGUGUAGCGGUGACAUGCGUAGAGAUCGGGAGGAACCCCAGUGGCGAAGGCGACUACCUGGCCCAGCACUGACGCUGAGGCGCGAAAGCGUGGGGAGCAAACAGG
rnacentral:rRNA from 1 species